CGACAGUUAGGGGCCCCCAUCAACCACAACCUAUCACCCAGGAAUCAAUGGAAAAAUACAAAAUUAAUAAUGCUAAAUAAUAAACCCUCCAUUGACGAUGGUAUUCCAUCUCAAAUAGAACAAAAGUUAUUCUUAAAAGUUGUUACAUAUGUUGGAGACUGUUAUUAUCAUUGUUAUAGACACAGAAUUUUCCAUUCUACUGAUAAAUAUUCAAUAUAAAUAUAAGAUCUCAGUCAAACAAUAACAGCUAGUCAACAGGGACCCCCACACCAAAUAUGCCUAAGGGCCCCCUCUUCCUCUGUUACGCCACUGGGCCCCCUCCCAUUAUUAAUGACCGGUGGUCCCUAAUCAUUCAUUAUAUACAUUUCAAACAAUUUCAUAUUAAUAUAUACAUCACUGGCUUUUCAAGAUACACAGACUACUAUAAACAGAAAGUCAGAAACAAGUGCUAAUACUAAAUGGUAGAAAUACACAAUAAUGGAAAAAGGCCUUCAGUCAAUUAUCUGCCAGUAUGAUAUUCGCAUGCUUACUAUAUGAUGUUAAGAUGUAUCAUCUUAGGCCCUGUUCACAUGAGCCAGGCUAGCCUGCCUUGCCAGAAUAGAAAUUGUUAUCAUAUGAGUCAGGAUCUUGGCUAACCAAGACACUGAAGAUAAGCCUGGCUAACUAGGCCAUGCAGCUCGACUCAUCUAAUGUCCAUUUCAUGUACUAUGCAUAAUAAUCACUACAUAAAGUGUCUGCUAUAGCACAACAUAUUUCAACUUUUCAUAUUUCAUACACUUAAUAAUAUUAACAUGUUAAAAACAAGAUUUUAACAAUUAUUUUAUUAAUUGACAACAAUUAUUUUAUUAAAAUAUUGAUUAUUUUAACAAUUAUUUUAUUAAUAACAAUUAUUUUAUUAAAAUAUUGAUUCCCUUCAUUGCUGAAAUCUAUCAGUAAUUUAAUAAAAUAAUUGUUAUUAAUAAAAUAAUUGUUAAAAUAAUC